rnacentral:rRNA from 1 species
GGGGGGGGGGGGGGGCGGGGGGGGCGGGUGGGGGGCGGGGGAGGCGGGGGGGUCUAGUGGGGCACGGGGGGGUGACGCGGGGGAACCUGCAGUUGGGUUCGGGAUGACGCCCCGGAAUGGGUGCGAAUACCGGAUAAUUUCUGUGGACCAACGCGUGAUCGCCGUUGGAUGGGCGCGCUUUGCAUUAGCUAGUUGGUAGGGUAAAAGCAUACAACAGCGACGAUCCAUAGCUGGUCGGAGAGUAUGAUCAGCCACACUGGGACUGAGACACGGCCCAGAAUCUAACGGGAGGCAGAAGUGUGGAAUAUUGGACAAUGGGCGAAAGAAUGAUCCAGCAAUGCCGCGUGAGUGAUGAAGGCAUUAGGGUUGUAAAGCUCUUUUACCUGGGAUGAUAAUGACAGUACCGGGAGAAUAAGCUCCGGCUAACUCCGUG